CCUACGGGAGGCAGCAGUGAGGAAUAUUGGUCAAUGGGCGCGAGCCUGAACCAGCCAAGUCGCGUGAGGGAGGACGGCCCUACGGGUUGUAAACCUCUUUUGCCGGGGAGCAACGGGCGUCACGUGUGGCGCCACUGAGAGUACCCGGAGAAAAAGCAUCGGCUAACUCCGUGCCAGCAGCCGCGGUAAUACGGAGGAUGCGAGCGUUAUCCGGAUUUAUUGGGUUUAAAGGGUGCGUAGGCGGAUCGUUAAGUCAGUGGUCAAAUUGAGGGGCUCAACCCCGGCCGGCCGUUGAAACUGGCGUGCUCGAGUUGGAGAGAAGUAUGCGGAAUUCGUGGUGUAGCGGUGAAAUGCAUAGAUAUCACGAAGAACCCCGAUUGCGAAGGCAGCAUACCGGCUCCACACUGACGCUGAGGCACGAAAGCGUGGGUAUCGAACAGGAUUAGAUACCCCUGUAGUC
rnacentral:rRNA from 1 species